UGUUGCAGACUCUCUCCUCUGUUUAGAGAUGGUUGUUGAGAUGUUUUCCUUCAGUCCUCUCUUAAACCAUCUAUCUUCUCUGUACAGAAUGUGAACAUUGCUGUCAUCAAAGGAGCGUUACUUAUCAUUGAAAUGCAGGCGGACUGCCAAGUCUUGUCUUGAGAAGCUGGUUCUCCUGCAUUGUUUAAGUUACUCAAAUAUCACUAAAUCUACCGAUAUAACCGCUCUCACUAAACUUUUUAAUACUUAUCUCUUAAAAUGCGUUAUUUUUAGUGAUUCAUUAAGAAUUUGUGAUCAACAUAUAUAGUGAGCAGGACAUUUUAGAGUUCAUAAAUGAAGAGUGAUAAAUCAUGUUGAAUUUUGUCAGGAAUCUGAUUCUGAUCAUAUACAUACAUUUUUCAACUAAGCUUCAUACAGGUUUAACAUCUUUGAGAAAAGAGAAAGCAAAAGCCACUAUAACCCCGCUGUUAUAUCAACUUAUUUUCCACAUCACCAUUAUUAAAUCCAUAUUUUUGGUCUCAUUCUGAGCAGCUUGACAACAAAAGACCAACCAGUAGCCAAAAUGCUUGGCUUGUUUGAGAUCUCCCUACAUACAACAGAAUUAUGUGUUUUUAAUUUUUUUCAGUUCAAAAAGCAAUGAAUCUUAGAGGGCAAUUUAAAUCCUAAACUAGCAAGAAAUUCCCCCUUGGUUUAAGUAGCUUUUCACCCAGCAUUUUUACAUCUAGAUGUUGCAGAUCAAGCAGAAGUGGCAGACUAGAGUAUCACAAAUGAAUAACCUCAACAUUCACACCUAGGUUCAAUGGUUCAACGUACUUUUCUGAAGUUUUAUCUUCUAAAUUAGUGCCUAAUCUGGGUCUUGGAAAGAAAAUGGAUUUCCAUUCUAGUUCACAUACAAUCAACAUCAGGACGUCCUUUGCGAUUAUAGCUAUUAUAGUGAUUACAUCAAUUAACGGCUGACUGCAUAAUUAUAUAGUGCAGGUAAUUUAGAGACAUUUUUGUCCUCUUUGUGUGCAACAGGAAAGGCAUGUUGGCGUGCACAGUAAUUACAAACAAGGGAGGCAGCUACAUGGACAAUGGGAGGCAGAGGAUCCAACGCUUUGUGUAAUGGACGUGUCACACAUCCUCCUAUUAGCAACGCUGACUUUAAAACCUCCAGUCGACAACCUUCACGGCUCCUGUAUACAGAGGACAACGUAUGAAAUAUUAUUUAACCACAGACAGGUGAAACAGUCGUAUUAACCCUGCAUGCACAUCUUUUUUUUUUUUACUGUCACUGUAAAACACAGACAUGAUGUAAUGUCAUGGAAACAACUGUAAACAAGAUGUACAAUAAAAUAUGCAUUUAUUUAUAGUGAUUAAAGUACCAUUCACUAAAAACAAUCCUGCACACUGAUUACAUGUGCUCACAUACUAACACUAACGCAUUUACACACUAAAGUGUACUGACUCGAUUUAGACAUCAGUACCAACAUAAAUACACUUCAAAUAUAAAUACAGCACUGUACACACGUUUCCCUUUCAUAAAAUUUUAAUAUUGAGAAGAUUGUCAAGAACUGGAUGUGUUGUAUCACUCCCAUUAGAAACCAGAUGUGGCUGUUAUCAACAAUGAGUCUAAGCCAGCAACAGUUCAAUUCACUUGCACAAACGUGCAUUAACUUUAAAAGAAACCAUUAAGUAAAACAUGCUGAUUUGGUUAAAACCGGACCUUUUCAUUUUGAAUACCAAAAAAAAGAAGAAAUGAAAAUGAAGCUGAACAUGCUCUGUGUUCAUGCACAGAUGGGAACUGAGUGUAAACACUUUCAAAAAUGUAUUUUCACAGGCAUUAUUACCUCAUACAUUUUCAACCAUUAGAAAUAAAAAAGGUCAAGUGGUUAAAAAGAAAAACAGCAACUGUUUCAUUCAAAAGUGCAUUCAAUUUUUACAUAAAUGCCAAAUUCAUUCAGUUUCGUUCUGCACUUUACAGUAUUUGGUCAUAAAUCUAUCUCCCAUAAAUUUUCCUCUUUGUUUGGUUACAAACUAGUAUAGGAAUUAUUACGAAUACUUUAAAAUAUACAAUGUCUACUAACUGCAAAAGAACUGGUGUGGCCCCCAUCUGUUCCCCACUUUACUUUUUCAAAGAAAUAAAAAAAAAAAACAUG